CUGGUGUUCAGUUGUCUUUCCAGAAGGAUGCAAAUCUCCCAUAGAUUCUGUCUCCCUCAGCAAGUGUCUUACACGUCCCAGUGUGUCUGGACUGGCACUAGGGGACUACACAGAGGCAGAUGAACCCUUCCCAUAAUGCUUGAUCAGUCUAAGGAAAAAAAAGAGAAUCAAGAGGUUGCUGGUGGCCAGUGGACCAGCUGCACACCAAUGUCAACUAGCACCUGGGAUAAGAUUAUGGCUACCUGGAAGAUAACAUACUAG
rnacentral:lncRNA from 1 species